AUUGAACGCUGGCGGCAGGCCUAACACAUGCAAGUCGAACGAGUGGCGGACGGGUGAGUAAUGUCUGGGAACCUGCCUGAUGGGGGGGGAUAACUACUGGAAACGGUCGCUAAUACCGCAUACCAUCAGAUGUGCCCAGAUGGGAUUAGCUUGUUGGUGGGGUAACGGCUCACCCAGGCGAAGAUACCUAGCUGGUCUGAGAGGAGGACCAGCCACACUGGAACUGAGACACGGUCCAGACUCUUACGGGGGGCAGCAGUGGGGAAUAUUGCACAAUGGGCGAAAGCCUGAUGCAGCAAUGCCGCGGGUAUGAAGAGGGCCUUCGGGUUGUAAAGUACUUUCAGCGGGGAGGCGGUACCCGCAGAAGAAGCAACGGCUAACUCCGUGCCAGCAGCCGCGGUAAUUC
rnacentral:rRNA from 1 species